rnacentral:rRNA from 1 species
CGCAUCUGUGCAUGCAGCAUAUCAAUAAGCGGAGGAAAAGCAUACCUACGCUUAGGAUGUUGAUCUGUAGUGCGUGCGCAUCUGUGCAUGCAGCAUAUCAAUAAGCGGAGGAAAAGAAACUAACAAGGAUUCCCUUAGUAACGGCGAGUGAAGCGGGAAGAGCUCAAAUUUGAAAUCUUCAAGGUUUUACCUUGACGAAUUGUAGUUUAAAGAAGUGUUUUCUGUUGAAGUUUUGGUAAAAGUUCUUUGGAAUAGGACAUCAUAGAGGGUGAGAAUCCCGUAUUUGACCAUUAUUUUCAGCUGUGCUGAUACACUUUCAAAGAGUCGGAUUGUUUGGGAAUGCAGUCCAAAAUGGGUGGUAAAUUUCAUCUAAAGCUAAAUAUUGGCGAGAGACCGAUAGCGAACAAGUACCGUGAGGGAAAGAUGAAAAGAACUUUGAAAAGAGAGUUAAACAGUACGUGAAAUUGUCAAAAGGGAAGCGUUUGACACCAGUGUUGUUUUCUCGAAAAUCAAUUAAAAAGAGUUAGAUUUUGUUGUGUAUUGACCUUAACAGCUUGCAUUUCAAUUUUCUUGCUUUUUUUAAUGCACUUUUCGUUUAACAAGUCAACAUCAGUUUCUUUUGUUGUAAAAAGGUCAUUGGAAGGUGGCUUUCUUUUCGGAGAAAGUGUUUAUAGCCUUUGACUCCUGCAAUCGGAGAGACUGAGGUCUGCAGCGUAGAUCCUUCGGGGUUAGAUACAUUUGUGCUAAGUUAUAGCUUUUUAUAGACAACUUGUUGACUAUGAUUAGUCUUGUAGCUUACUCGCUUAUGCUAUUUUACCUACGCUUAGGAUGUUGAUCUGUAGUGCGUGCGC